rnacentral:sRNA from 1 species
GAAGCUCACGCCGUUGCUGAGUGUGCGGGAGUCACUCUCAGAGGAAGAGGCCCAGAAGAUGGGGCGCAAAGACCCAGAGCAGGAAGUGGAGAAGUUCGUCACCUCCAACACGCAGGAACUGGGCAAGGAUAAGUGGCUGUGUCCUCUCAGUGGCAAGAAAUUCAAGGGUCCUGAGUUUGUGCGCAAACAUAUCUUCAACAAGCAUGCAGAGAAAAUUGAGGAAGUGAAAAAGGAGGUCGCGUUUUUUAACAACUUCCUCACUGAUGCUAAGCGCCCAGCUCUGCCUGAGAUCAAGCCAGCCCAGCCACCUGGCCCUGCCCAGAUACUCCCCCCAGGUUUGACCCCGGGACUCCCCUACCCACACCAGACGCCCCAGGGCCUGAUGCCCUACGGUCAGCCCCGGCCCCCGAUCUUGGGCUAUGGAGGUAAGUACAGGAGGGAGAUGAAGGGGCUUGGUGAGUGUGUGGCUUUGGGAGAAGAAAACAGAGGAUGGAGUUGAGGACAUAGUUUUGCAACUCAACACUGAUCUCUGUCAUAGCUGGUGCUGUCCGCCCUGCAGUCCCCACAGGAGGCCCUCCAUACCCCCACGCCCCGUAUGGUGCUGGUCGAGGGAACUACGAUGCCUUCCGAGGCCAGGGAGGUUAUCCUGGGAAAC